GCCUGGCUGGCUCAGUCAGUGGAGCAUGUGACUCUUGAUCUCAGGGUUGUGAGUUCAAGCCCUACACUGGGCA
rnacentral:tRNA from 1 species